rnacentral:rRNA from 1 species
UACGUAGGGGGCAAGCGUUGUCCGGAAUCAUUGGGCGUAAAGAGCGCGUAGGCGGUCCGGUAAGUCCGCUCUGAAAGUCCGGGGCUCAACCCCGGGAGGCGGGCGGAUACUGUCGGGCUAGAGUCCGGAAGAGGAGAGUGGAAUUCCUGGUGUAGCGGUGAAAUGCGCAGAUAUCAGGAAGAACACCCGUGGCUAAGGCGGCUCUCUAGUACGGUACUGACGCUGAGACGCGAAAGCGUGGGGAGCGAACAGG